rnacentral:rRNA from 1 species
GAUAGGUUAAGUUAUUAAGGGCGCAUGGUGGAUGCCUUGGCACUAGGAGCCGAUGAAGGACGGGACUAACACCGAUAUGCUUCGGGGAGCUGUAAGUAAGCUUUGAUCCGGAGAUUUCCGAAUGGGGGAACCCAACUUGUUAUGCAAGUUAUCACCUAAUGAAUAUAUAGUUAGGCUGAAGGUAGACGUUGUGAACUGAAACAUCUCAUUAGCAACAGGAAUAGAAAGAAAAAUCGAUACCGUCAGUAGCGGCGAGCGAAAUCGGUAGAGCCCAAACCAAAGUGCUUGCACUUUGGGGUUGUAGGACUGUCGUUGUGGAGUUACAAAAUUGUUUAUUAGCAGAAUCAGCUGGGAAGCUGAGCGAGACAGGGUGAUAGC